GGGGUGACCAGCAGGUUACUAGGCAGUCUCUUCAUCCCCAUUGGCUGAAAAGAGUCUCGAGAUUCCCAGAAGGGCUUGUUUUUCUUGGAGGCCAAUGGGCAUGACUGCAGCCAAAAGUUGAAAUUUUCCAGCUGAAGGCAAAGAGCAAAGGGCCUUUUGCUUCAAGUCACUUCCAUGUGGCUCCCAGAGGCAACUUUAAAAUGUUGGUUCAACACCUCUCUAGCCAGAGUUGAGCCCACAUGACUUGAGGAUGGAUAGGUUAAUUCUUCAACAUCCGGCAGGUGGGGCUUGAUUCACUGAUUCUGUUUUCAUGGCUUUUAGGACUGGAAGGCCCAUCAGAAGACGGUCUAAGCAGGUGGUUACCAUGGGGUAUCUGUGAACCUCUUGAGAUUAUGUACAUCUCAAAAUGCACAGCUUUGAACAAGGGUCCAGGGACAUUGAUCAACCCUCAAGGGAAUCCAUGACCCCUGAAAAAGGACAAGAAGUUAAGUAAAUCGACUUCUGCAUUUUAAGAUGGAGCAACCAAGGCUCAGAGAGGGAAAGCCACCUACCCAAGGCCACACAGCCAGUUCAUUUAGUUAGAUCCGAGUAUCCUGAUUACCAGCAGAACACUCUUUCUAUUAAUAGUAUAUCAGCUCUUAGGUUCAUCUGACACAGUACUUGAGACUGCAAAGAAACUGUUCAAAAUAAGAUUGUAACACAUUGCCAUGUAUCCCGAGAAGGGUAAGGAGAGUCCUUUUGGGGCCUCUGAGCACCAGCUCUUACCCUUCAUAUAACAUGGACAUGGAAAUCAGUUCCACUGGGCUUUCUUUCUCUCACUGACUCCAUGGAUAGGGUGGAGGAGACUGUUGUUUUCUCCCAGGGUGGACAGUCUGUGAUUCUGGGAAGUUCAUUGCAACUGUUUAUAUGAUGGGGGGUGGGGGCAGAAAGAAAUGCUUACCAUGGUCCCUGACUAUCUGCAGAACUGUUCCCUUAGCAAAACCCACAGGUAGUUCAAGUUUGAAUAGGAGUUCACAGAGAUCUCUGCCCACAAGCUGACCACCAUGUUCCUACCUGUCCAGCUGGGCGUCUCACACCCAGUGCCUGGCUGCAUGGCUCAGCCUCCCCCCACCCACCUCCCUCCAAGGGCUUAAACUCUCUCCCUCUGCUGCUUGUUGAAAUGCUCAUCAUGGGCAUCACUGAGCACCGGGCAAUUGAUUUUUUAACAUUUUAUUUGGGAAACUCACCAAAAGAAGUUGCAAAUACAAAAAUAGUACACAGAAGACUCCAAUACACCUUUUAAGAACAUUUAGCUCCAUCUGUUGUAUCAUUUGCUCUUUUUAAAAAAUUAUUAUUAUCUAUCCGUGUGUUUCUGGACCCUUUGAGGGAAGGUGACUGUAUCAUGGCACUUUGCUCUCAGAAUUUAAGAAGAUGGUAACUGAAAAGCCUAUCACAAGGGGUUUGGAAAUCUCUGAUGUUGACCCGCAACAAGGCACGUGUAUGUCUUGUGCAUUUCAGAGUGCAGUGUCCAAUGAUUUCAUCAGGCUCUCAAAGGAAUCUACAACUCCUCCCCUCAAAUAAAAAGAUGGAAGCUCUAAGGAAGACCAACUCCUUCAUUUUAAGAUGGAGAGCCCAAGGAGACCUGAAAUACUGUGCUGUGUAGAUCCUAAGAGUAAGGACAUUCUCUUACAAAGCCAUGAGGCAGUUAACCAAUGUCAGCACAUUCAACCUGGAUGCAAUAUUUUGAUCUAAUUUACUGUCCGGUCCAGCUUUGUCAACUGACCUAAUAUCAUCCUUUACAGACUUGCCCCUCUGGGACAGGGUCCAGGGUAGGCUUGGAUGUCGCAUUCCUUGCCCUAUCUCUUGAGCUUCUUGUGGUCUAGAUCUUUCCACAGCUUUCGUUUGGCGUAGACGGCAUGGAAACUCAGGGUGAGCCUCAUCUCCCUUUUCUAGCGGAAUGUGCCUCAUUUGGCACCCAUCCCCUUGUGUCUCCUCAUGGUUACAUUGAGGCUGUGCUUUUCUGGCCCGAAGUGUUAUUCUCCGGGAAUCACAUCCAGGGGUGACAUAUGAGCCCUUUAUUAUGGGAGGUGACCUGGGAAAUGCUGGCAGCGUAGUGGAACAAGAAAGAUGCGGAGUGCUGGCUAGCCCAAAGGCAUUCAAAUGAGGAAAAGACCCCCAGCUCCCAUGCAGCCCUCAUAGAACAUGCUAGAAGGAC
ensembl:lncRNA